AUACCAGACUCCUACGGGAGGCAGCAGUGGGGAAUAUUGCACAAUGGGGGAAACCCUGAUGCAGCGACGCCGCGUGAGCGAUGAAGUAUUUCGGUAUGUAAAGCUCUAUCAGCAGGGAAGAAAAUGACGGUACCUGACUAAGAAGCCCCGGCUAACUACGUGCCAGCAGCCGCGGUAAUACGUAGGGGGCAAGCGUUAUCCGGAUUUACUGGGUGUAAAGGGAGCGUAGACGGUCCUGCAAGCCAGAUGUGAAAGCCCGGGGCUCAACCCCGGGACUGCAUUUGGAACUGUAAGGCUAGAGUGUCGGAGAGGCAGGCGGAAUUCCUAGUGUAGCGGUGAAAUGCGUAGAUAUCAGGAGGAACACCGGCGGCGAAGGCGGCCUGCUGGACCGUAACUGACGUUGAGGCUCGAAAGCGUGGGGAGCAAACAGGAUUAGAUACCCCAGUAAA
rnacentral:rRNA from 1 species